rnacentral:rRNA from 1 species
GACGAACGCUGGCGGCGUGCUUAACACAUGCAAGUCGAACGAGAAGAGAUGAGAAGCUUGCUUCUUAUUAAUUCGAGUGGCAAACGGGUGAGUAACGCGUAAGCAACCUGCCCUUCAGAUGGGGACAACAGCUGGAAACGGCUGCUAAUACCGAAUACGUUCUUUUGUCGCAUGGCAGAAGGAAGAAAGGGAGGCUCUUCGGGAGCUUUCGGCUGAAGGAGGGGCUUGCGUCUGAUUAGCUAGUUGGAGGGGUAACGGCCCGACCAAGGUCGACGAUCAGUAGCCGGUCUGGAGAGGUUGAACGGCCACA